rnacentral:lncRNA from 1 species
ACGCAGGUUUAACUUCUUUAUUCAACAAAAAUGCGGAUUCAGAAAAGCACCCAGGAAGGUUGAACCUCGAAGAUCAGACCCAGGGACAAGUGGUGAAGCAUACAAGAGAAGUGCUUUGAUUCCUCCUGUGGAAGAAACAGUCUUUUAUCCUUCUCCCUAUCCUAUAAGGAGUCUCAUAAAACCUUUAUUUUUUACUGUUGGGAUUAACAAGUGGUGGAAUAACCUAAGUGAUGGCCAGCGGACUGUGACAGGUAUUAUAGCUGCAAAUGUCCUUGUAUUCUGUUUAUGGAGAGUACCUUCUCUGCAGCGGACAAUGAUCAGAUAUUUCACAUCGAAUCCAGCCUCAAGUGUUAUUUCCAAUUUUGUCAGUUACGUGGGUAAAGUUGCCACAGGAAGAUAUGGACCAUCACUUGGUGCAUCUGGUGCCAUCAUGACAGUCCUCGCAGCUGUCUGCACUAAGAUCCCAGAAGGGAGGC